rnacentral:lncRNA from 1 species
CUCAACUGCACUGUGUAUAUAGAAAGGCUUCUAAAUAUCCAUGUUUUCAUUUCUAUAACCAUUUAAGCGCUUAGUUUUUACGAAUUCAUCAAACUCAUUCGCAUAGUCACACAUCAUUAGUCACUGCUGAGCUGUAGAAAGUAAGAGAAAUCGCAAACUCCUUGAUUAGCUGUAUUUUAAAAAGCUCUUCAGAAAAGUGAUCUACUACUAUGCUCUGUGUUCUAGCAGAAUACAAAGGCCCCUCUUUCCAUGGGUCGUUUCCAGACCUGGCUAUUACAAGAGAACACUGGAGUGCUAAACACAGAUUAUGAGUCUGAAAUACUGGGAAACUGCUGACAGAAAAUCUCUGUACGUGGCAAGGGCUCUGCUGGGGGUGGCUCUCAACCCGACACUGUCAGUGAUGGGAAGGGCUCUGCUAGGGGGGGCUCUCAGCCCCAGACACUGUCAGUGAUGGGAAGGGCUCUGCUGGGGGGGCUCUGCUGGGGGGCUCUCAGCCCCCAACACUGUCAGUGAUGGGAAGGGCUCUGCUGGGGGGCUCUCAGCCGCCAACACUGUUCAGUGAUGGGAAGGGCUCUGCUGGGGGAGCUCUCAGCUGCCGACACACUGUCAGUGAUGGGAAGGGCUCUGCUGGGGGGCUCUCAACCCCCAACACUGUCAGUGAUGGGAAGGGCUCUGCUUCAGGUCAGGGGAGCUGUGACAAGGUCAUCUUCAUCUUACACUGGAGUCAAGCAAAGCUAAAUGUUAAACCGAAUUGUGCUUUCCA